rnacentral:misc_RNA from 1 species
GCGGAGGGAUCAUUAGCCGGAGUGGGACCGCUGGAGCGUGGUGAAGCGAGAGCAUCGCCACGCUCUAGGAGGUCCGACCCCUCGAUACUUUGCUUAAGCCCCCCUUUCGGCGCUAUCUGUCAGGGCUUCCGGCCUGCGGCGGAUGCCCCUCUACUUCGGCCGCUAGGCGCGGGCUGGCGGGUGGAUACCCCUCGUGGGGCGAGGGGGCCCUUGCGCCCCCCCAUCCGCUCUCCCGUGCGGCCGGCAGGGCUCUAUUUGGCUCCUUGCGGGUUCGCCCCUUGGUAGACGGCUGGGUGGUAGGUCCUGCUUUGGGCGGCAGGUCCCACGAGCCCGGCCAUCCGGUAGGUGGCCGUAGGUAGACCCCUCUAGGGGUUUAGGGAACGCGGGAGGGCCCUCCGCGCGCUCUCCGCCUACGGUUGCGUGCCGCCGUUUGAGAGCCCCACCGGUCUCCUAGGGGUAAGCCCCCCCGGGACGGCGGCCGAGGCCCUAUAUCUAAACCAUCCGUAUCCGUGAGUCUGAGCGGCGAAAGCCAACAGGUACAACCUGCAACGAUGGAUCUCUUGGCUCUGGCAUCGAUGAAGAACGCAGCGAAAUGCGAGACGUAAUGCGAAUUGCAGAUCAACGCGAGUCAUCGAAUUUUUGAACGCACAUUGCGCCCUCUGGUAUUCCGGAGGGCACGCCCGUCCGAGUGUCAUUUCCACCUCAAGCUUCGGGCUUGUCGUUGGGCACCGCCCUCUAUGGG